rnacentral:rRNA from 1 species
CUACGGGAGGCAGCAGUGGGGAAUAUUGGACAAUGGGGGCAACCCUGAUCCAGCCAUGCCGCGUGAGUGAUGAAGGCCUCAGGGUUGUAAAGCUCUUUCGGCGGGGAAGAUAAUGACGGUACCCGCAGAAGAAGCCCCGGCUAACUUCGUGCCAGCAGCCGCGGUAAUACGAAGGGGGCUAGCGUUGCUCGGAAUCACUGGGCGUAAAGCGCACGUAGGCGGAUUGCUAAGUCAGGGGUGAAAUCCUGGAGCUCAACUCCAGAACUGCCCUUGAUACUGACGAUCUCGAGUCCGGGAGAGGUGAGUGGAACUCCGAGUGUAGAGGUGAAAUUCGUAGAUAUUCGGAAGAACACCAGUGGCGAAGGCGGCUCACUGGCCCGGUACUGACGCUGAGGUGCGAAAGCGUGGGGAGCAAACAGGAUUAGAUACCCGGGUAGUCC